CUCCAGCCUGGUUGACAGAGUGAGACCCUGUCUAAAAAACGAAAAAACACCUUCCUAGCCAUGGAAGAGCAUAUUCUUGUUUAUUGGCAAAGCUGUCACCAUUUAAUUGGUAUCAGAUUCUGACUUGCACAAGUAACAUUA
ensembl:snoRNA